GAGCUUAGAAAGUAGAAACGAAGAGAAGAGAAGAGAACUCUCCUCCUAUCAGUUCAACUCAUCCAGAACCAGCCCAGUUUCUUGCAGCCAAUUCCUUUCCUUUGCGUUUUUGUUUGCUACUCUGAUCAUCACUUGUUUUGUGUUGAGAUCAUGGCAUUAGCUGUGGUAGGUGGUGCGCUCCUUUCUGCUUUCAUUGACGUUCUUUUCGACAGGCUGGCCUCCCCUGAGGUUCUCAACUUUAUCCGAGGAAAAAAGCCCGACAAGUUGCUUCAAAAGGUGAAAACACAGCUCAUAGUUGUUAGAGUUGUGCUUGCUGAUGCUGAGAAGAGACAAAUCGCAGACUCCAAUGUCAAAGAGUGGCUCGAUCUUCUCAGAGAUGUUGUCUAUGAGGUUGAUGACUUACUUGAUGAAGUUUCUACUAAAGCUGCUACUCAAAAGGAGGUAAGCAAUUCAUUUUCUCGCCUUUUCAAAACGAAGAAGAUUGUUAGUAUUAGUAAGUUGGAAGACAUUGUUGAAAGAUUAGAUGACAUUUUAAAACAAAAAGAGAGUCUUGAUUUGAAGGAGAUUCCAGUGGAGAGCUACCAGCCAUGGAAAGCUCAGCCAACAUCUUUGGAAGAUGGAUAUGCUAUGUAUGGUAGAGAGAAAGAUAAGGAGGCCAUAAUGAAGAUGGUGUUAGAGGAUAGCACCAAUGGUGAAAAAGUGUCUGUGAUCCCUAUUGUAGGCAUGGGUGGGGUUGGAAAAACCACUUUGACAAUAUCUGUGUUCAACGAUGGCAAAUUGCAGCAGCAUAUAUUUGAUUUAAAGGCAUGGGUUUGUGUUUCUGAUAUAUUUGAUAUUGUGAGGGCCACAAGAACCAUGAUAGAGGAAAUUACCCGAAAGCCUUGCAAAUUGAGUGAUCUAAAUGCUCUUCAACUUGAGUUGAUGGACAAACUGAAAGGUAAAAGAUUAUUGAUUGUGUUGGAUGAUGUUUGGAUCGAGGAUUGUGACAAUUGGAGUAGUCUUACAAAACCAUUUCUAAGCGGGAAUAGGGGCAGUAAAGUUCUGAUCACAACCCGCAAUGAAAAUGUAGCGGCUGCAGUGCCUUUUCAUACUGUUGAAGUAUAUCAUCUAAACAAAUUGUCAAAUGAAGAUUGUUGGUCGGUGUUUGCAAACCAUGCAUUUCCUCUCUCAGAAGCCAGUGAGACUAGAGGAACUCUAGAAAAGAUUGGAAAGGAGAUUGUUAAAAAGUGCAACGGGUUGCCGUUAGCCGCACAGUCACUUGGAGGAAUGUUGAGAAGAAAGCAGACUAUUAGGGAUUGGAAUAAUGUACUUCAAAGUGACAUUUGGGAACUUCCUGAAAAUCAGUGUAAAAUUAUUCCAGCACUCAGAAUCAGUUAUAAUUAUCUCCCUCCACAUUUAAAACGGUGUUUCGUUUAUUGCUCAUUGUACCCCAAAGAUUAUGAAUUUAAAAAAGAUGAACUGAUCCAGCAGUGGAUGGCUGAAGAUCUUAUAAAAGCAGUGAAAAAAGGAAAGACUUUAGAAGGAGUUGGUCAAGAGUAUUUUGAUGAUUUGGUAUCGAGAUGCUUUUUUCAAUAUUCAAGUCGGAGUGGGGGUGCUUACUUUGUAAUGCACGACCUCAUUCAUGAUCUAGCAACAUUUCUUGGUGGGGACUUCUAUUUCAGAACAGAUGAACUUGGGAAAGAAACCAAUAUAGACAGAAAGACUCGGCAUUUGUCAUUAACAAGAUUCAGUGACCCAGUCUCGGAUAUUGAAGCUUUUGACACAGUAAAAUUUCCAAGAACUUUCUUGCUAAUCGAUUAUAAAGAUUCCCCAUUCAACAACGAAAAGGCACCGCGUAUUAUAGUGUCAAGGCUUAAGUACUUGAGAGUUUUAUCGCUUUGGAACUUCGGAAGUCAACUUGCUCUGCCUGAUUCAGUUGGUCAAUUGAUACAUUUGCGUUAUCUAAAUCUCUCUCAUACAAGUAUAGAAACUCUGCCGGAGUCACUGUGUAAUUUGUGCAAUCUACAAACUUUGAAGUUGUCUUAUUGCUCUAAGCUGACUAAGUUGCCUAGUUCCAUGCAAAAUCUUGUAAACUUGCGUCAUCUUGAAAUUGUUGGUACUCCCAUAAAAGAGAUGCCUAAAAGAAUGGGGAAACUAAAUCAAUUACGCACCUUGGAUUGUUAUGUUGUGGGCAAGCAUAUAAAGAAUAGCAUCAAAGAACUGGGAGGACUUCAAAAUCUCCAUGGUAGGUUUUAUAUUAAGAAAUUAGAGAAUGUUACCAAAGGCGAAGAAGCAUUAGAGGCCAGGAUAAUGGAUAAGAAUCAUAUUAGCCAUCUAUACUUGGAAUGGUCUAUAGCUAAUGACAAUAGCAUCGACUUCCAAGUUGAGUUAGAUGUACUCAGCAAGUUAGAACCUCACCAAGACCUGGAAUCGUUGUCAAUAAACGGUUAUAAAGGAACCAGAUUUCCGGAAUGGGUGGGGAAUUUUUCCUACCUCUACAUGACAAGUAUAGAUUUAUUUAAUUGUAACAACUGUUGCAUGCUUCCUUCACUUGGGCAACUACCGUCUCUCCGUAACCUUCUUAUUUCAAACAUGAAUUCGGUGAAGACAAUUGAUACAGGCUUUUAUAAGAAGGAUGAUUGUUCAUCUGUGACGCCCUUUCCAUCCCUUGAAUCUCUACACAUUUCUAAUAUGCCUUGUUGGGAGGUGUGGAAUGCUUUUGAUUUAGAAGCUUUUCCUGUACUCAAGAAUCUGUGGAUAGAAGAGUGCUCCAAACUAAAGGGAGAUCUGCCAAAUCACCUUCCUGCUCUGCAAACACUCAGGAUUAGAUAUUGCGAGCUUCUUGUCUCUUCUGUCCCAGGGCCUCUCACCCUUCGGACACUAGACAUACGUAAAUGCAAGAAAGUAGCGUUUCGUGAGUUUCCUCUUUUGGUAGAAAGUAUAGAAGUAGAAGGAGGCCCAAUGGUGGAGUCCAUGAUGGAGGCCAUCUCUAACAUCCAACCUACUUGCCUGCAAUCUUUGAAAUUACAAAAUUGUUCGUCAGACAUAUCUUUUAGAGGUGGUCGUCUUCCUGCAUCUUUGAAAACUCUUGAUAUCAGAGGUAUAAACAAACUGAAAUUCCCGUUGCAACACAAACACGAAUUACUGGAAUCACUUUCAAUAAUUAAUAGUUGUGAUUCGCUCACGUCCCUUCCAUUGGCUAUCUUCCCAAAUCUCACUAGUCUUCAAAUCACAAACUGUGAAAAUAUGGAAUCACUUUUGGUCUCAGGGUCAGAGAUUUCGAAGAGACUGAACACUUUUACGAUUGACCACUGUCCCAACUUUGUAUCAUUCCCGGUAGAAGAAUUGUGUAUGCCCAAUUUGACUCGUCUCAGUGUUUAUGAUUGUGACAAGUUGAAGUCGUUGUCCGAUCGCAUGGGAACUCUUGUCCCAAAGAUGGAAUAUCUUUCAAUUUCCAACUGUCAACAAAUUGAGUCAUUCCCUGGAGGAGGUAUGCCACCUAACUUGAGAACAGUUCUUAUCAGCAAUUGUGAGAAACUAUUGAGGGGCCUAGGAUGGAAAUCGAUGGCCAUGGUUACCUCUCUCAGUGUGUGGGGUCCAUGUGAUGGCAUCAAAUCCUUUCCAAAGGAGAGUUUGCUGCCUCCCUCCCUUAUAUCUCUGGAUCUAAUUGGUUUGUCUAGUCUGGAAACGUUGGAUUGCAAGGGCCUUCUCCAUGUCACAUCACUCCAACAAUUAAGCAUUAUAAGGUGUCAAAAGCUGGAGAAUAUUGCGGGAGAAAAACUGCCUCUCUCUCUAAUAAAAUUAAUGAUAUAUAAAUGUCCCUUGCUGAAACAACGAUGCCACAAUACGGACCGCCAAAUUUGGCCUAAAAUCUGCCAUAUCCGUGGGAUAAACAUUGACGGUAGAUGGAUUUAACGAGCAUGGAUAAUGAGAAGUCAUUCUGGAUUGGCUUGGUUAAACUGCAGCUGUCCAUUGUAAUGUACUGUCCUCUACGAGGUCAUCACUUUUGUGUUUGAUUUAUAGAUUUGGGUUGAAUGCAUCUGAAAGCUAUAUCCCAGCAUGCAGAGAAAGUGCAUUCUUACACAAAGAGAGAAAGAGCUCCAAGAAACAAGAAGUGACCGUGGUGAUCAUCUACUUGUGGAUUCUUGAAGAGCAAAUUAAUUGCGCGUACAAAGGCUGAUCAUAUCUGCACAUUGGGUGUAACUAAGAGAUCAGAGGCUACAAUCUUGUGAAGAAUGGAUUAAGGUUCAUUGUUGUGAUUACAGGAAGAAGAGCGUGUUGCGUUCUUGACUUUGAGGGUGACUCAAAGGGUUUAGACUACAGGAGAGGGGAUUCUUGCUGCUAGUUUGUUUGUAUACUGCCUAUAUUUUGAUUAGAGGGUUAGAAAGAUGUUUUAUAUUUUUGACGUGAGGUCGCUAUAAAAGCCUUGUUGUAAAAACUUUGAUCAUUAUAGUGCAUUGGUUUCCCUUGGUUGGAAGGACACUGGAUGUAGGCUUGG